rnacentral:rRNA from 1 species
AAGGGCACCACAAGAACGCGUGGAGCAUGUGGCUUAAUUUGACAACGCGGGAAAACUUUCCGGGGCCGGACACACUGUGGAUUGUGAGGGGAUAAAUUAUGCUAUUCCUUUCAUGAGUGUGUGAGAGGUGGGGCGUGGGCGCUCUUAUAUCGCGGAGAGAGCUGUCUGCUUAAAUGUGUUUCACAUAAAAAGUGUCGAUCGCUCUGUGAGGGAUGUUGUCCACGGGGACAUAUCUCGCACGCGCGACACUAUGAAAGCAACAAACGUGACCGA